rnacentral:rRNA from 1 species
GACGAACGCUGGCGGCGUGCUUAACACAUGCAAGUCGAACGGAAAGGCUCCAGCUUGCUGGAGUACUCGAGUGGCGAACGGGUGAGUAACACGUGGGUGAUCUGCCCUGCACUCUGGGAUAAGCCUGGGAAACUGGGUCUAAUACUGGAUAUGACCUUUCUCCUUAUGGGGUUUGGUGGAAAGUUUUUCGGUGUAGGAUGAGCCCGCGGCCUAUCAGCUUGUUGGUGGGGUGAUGGCCUACCAAGGCGACGACGGGUAGCCGGCCUGAGAGGGUGAUCGGCCACAUUGGGACUGAGAUACGGCCCAGACUCCUACGGGAGGCAGCAGUGGGGAAUAUUGCACAAUGGGCGGAAGCCUGAUGCAGCGACGCCGCGUGAGGGAUGACGGCCUUCGGGUUGUAAACCUCUUUCAGCAGGGACGAAGCGUAAGUGACGGUACCUGCAGAAGAAGCACCGGCUAACUACGUG